UAUGGCCAAACGAAAGUAUGAAUAAUUUCACGAACACAGAUCGCAGGCCCAAGAUCAAUAAACGUUAGCAGAUUUUUUCUAUUUUUUGGUGCCCUCGUUUAUAUUUAGCUUUAUCUUACAUAGUUAGCACCUGCCGACGCUUUCACACUAAUAACUGUGCGCACGUUUCUUACUAAAUAGAUACCUCUUUGCCUCAUAAAUAGAGAGUGAAAAUCGUCGAGUUAAAAAAAGAAAAAAAAAAAAUGUACUGUCGAAGAAAUAAACGUAUAGCUGCGACAACUACGUAGACAUAGAGGAUUUUUCUUUUAUUUUACUUGUAGCUGGUAAGUGAAGUAUACCACCGGUCGUUUCGCACCAACGUUUCAAUUUUUUCUUCACUGCUACAGGAAACAGUCGCUUUCGAUUCGAGUUUGCGAGAAGUUCACGCUUCUUUAAACUUAAACGUCCUGCCA